AGCUCUCAGUUCUUUAAAGGAGACUUUGUGUCUCUGAGCUGUGAGGAGGACGACAGCUCUGCUGGAUGGACUCUGAGGAGAAACACAAGCACACGACAGAGGACUCAGUGUGGAGAUGGGUGGGGAACAUCUGCUAAGUCUUCGUGUAACAUUAGUAAUGUCUUUCCUCAUGACAGUGGAGUUUACUGGUGUGAGUCCAGAGAGGGUCCCAUCAGUAACAUGGUUAACCUGACAGUCACUGGUGGAUCAGUGAUCCUGCAGAGUCCUGUCCUCCCUGUGAUGGAGGGAGAUGACGUCACUCUGCUCUGUAAAACAAAGACCACUCCCUCCAACCUCCCAGCUGCUUUCAUCAAAGAUGGCGUCUUCAUUAGAAAUGAGUCUACAGGUCACAUGACCAUCCAGCAUGUUUCCAGGUCUGAUGAAGGCCUCUACAAGUGUGACAUCAGCGGUCAUGGAGAGUCUCCAUCCAGCUGGAUCACUGUCACAGACAAACACACCACCACACCUCUCAUUCCUGUGUUGUCAUGUGUUGGAUCAUUCUGUGUUGUGAUUCUACUGGUGUUAUUGGUUCUGCUGGUGAGACGGCAUGCUCGCAGGAAACCUGAAGCUCAAAACACUGAUGACACUUCAGAAAACAAAGUCACAUGCACUGAGGUCACUUUAUCAAAUCAUCAACAAAAACAAAAAGAGAGUGAUCCAGCUGGACUCUACUCCGAAGUGACAAUACAAGACGUCACUGCUGGGCAGAAAAGAAAAGACUUUAAACCAGAGCCAGACAUCGUCUACUCUUUGCUGAAGUAGUCCACCAGUCCAACCACUGAUGCCCAGCUGCUGGUCUCUAACUGGUCCUUACCCUCUUCCUUUUGUUCUCACUGAAUUAGACCUGUAUGUCUCACACAAAUUGUUUUUAACAGGAGUUUUACAAGUUUAUCCUACAUAAUUUAUUACUGUUUGUUGGCUUUUUCCCUCAUUCUUAUUUCACCCAUUCAGUCUCUCUGCAGCAGUAAUAUUGUCACAUGUUUUUUGUGUGGGCUUGGAAAAGAAAUCAAAUGGAAAAUUUGACUUAUUUGUAUGUGGCUAACUGAUAUAUGCCCUUCUUUCAAUCAUUCAGUUGCGGAAAACAGAACAGCUUCAUUGCAGGAUGUAUAUGUUUGAGACCAAAUAGUUUACAUUUUUACAUCAUCCAUAAAUCAAACAGCAGCAGCUUAGAGUUUUUAUUAAUUAAAACCUACCUUUAAAUUUAUCCACCAAAAGCAGUUCCUGAUACGACUCCAAAGGGAGUCGUAUCCCAUCUCUGGUCAUGAAGUUCUCCAGAGGCCUGUAAUGAUCAUUUGAUUCAGGUGUGUUGACCUACUGUGCUAUCUAAAACGUGCAGGACACUGGUCCUUGAGACCUGGGGCCAUCCUUGCCAUUCACUGUUAAAUCUGGGUAUUACAGUUCCAAUGUUUGAAAUGAUAAGAAAACAUUACUAUGUUAACAGCUAAAGAAAAGACAAACAGUUUACAUUCCAAACUUUAAAGAAAUAAGACAUAAAUGACCAGGUUUGACUUGUUUGUUCUCAGUUUGACUCUUGUAGUGUUUUUCAGUCAAAUUUGGCCAAUUUCAAAGUUUUAUCUCUAAAAAAAAAAUGUACGUAGUUUGAUCAGACUGACCUUAGACUUUAUAGCUGUGUCCACAAAGAGGACUUUACAACACAAAAUAAAUUUGAUUAGUUUGCUUACAAUUGUGUCUUUUAUUCAACAUUUGUACACUUUUGGUGUUCCAUGUCUGAAAUGAGUGAUCAUUAGAAAUGAACUUGGGAGUUCAGGUUCGUCCCCAUUUGUCAGUUGGACAUAUAUAUGCUUAUUGUUGUGUUUUCCUCAAAACCCAGCAUUCGCUCUUCUCUGUGUGUUUGCCUGUUUUCAUACUGGCUUACUUUAAACUUUAACAGCCCCGAUGUGUUUUAAAAGAAAUCCUGCUCAUCCUCUAAAUGUGUCACAAGUUUGGGUUUACUCAGAAAACUGUUCUUCACACCUAAAUUGGCUUUUGAGCUUUUUAAAAAAAAUAAUAAUACAAAUAAAAAAAAUCAUAUUAUG